GGGGAAGCUGAUCCUAGGUCUGUCCCUAGGGGAAGCUGAUCCUAGGUCUGUCCCUAGGGGAAGCUGAUCCUAGGUCUGUCCCUAGGGGAAGCUGAUCCUAGGUCUGUACCUAGGGGAAACGUUCACCCCAGAGCCUCAUGAUAUGGCAGAAACUAGUGUGUGUUGAUGCCAGAAACAAAAAUAAUAUAACUGUAAAAUAACGAACUGUUUUGUCUGGGUAAAACUACAACAUUUAGUCCCCUCAGCAGCCGGUGUGGAGUCUGAAGUUAUGAAGCGUUACUAGUGUAAGGCAAACGAGCAGAAAAUAAACUCUGUG
ensembl:lncRNA